AUGUUUCAAAUUUCAGAACUUUGUUUAUAUACAGCAGAGUUGUGUGUUGCCUACAUAUAUGUCUUAUGUUGUUCUAGCACAUGCCUUCUUCAAACUCUCAUGAAGAGUAAAAAUUGAACAGCAAAAUAAUUGAAAUGAAUGGAGCGGAGGUGCCGAAGCUACGAGCCAAUAUCAAGAAGCUGCAACUGCAGAAUUGUACAUGAUGAAUUGGGUGUGAUGAUAUUGAUAGUGGUUGUGUUUGUGGUUAAUUUUCCAGGAGCUUAACUUGGGGAGGAAAAGGAUAAAAUCACUUCAGCAUGAACUUUUGUGGAGGAAAGGGAAGGAUUUGAGUGUCCAAAUGAGGGAGCUGUUGUGAAAUUGAAACUAGUUGGGAAGGUUAGCUAGUGGUUCCUCCUAACUCCACUGUAAUUAUGAGCUUGAGCUAGUGCUAUUUGAGAAGGAUAUGGAAAUUGGAGGAUGCUAUAGAUGGUGGUGCACCUUUGGAUUAUGCUUCAAAACAUGUUAGCUCUGAAACAAUGUCGAGUUAGAGUUGGCUUCAUAUGAGGUUUUCUGUAGUAGUGUACCUUAGAUACAUGAAAAUUGUAGUGCUUUUGUAGUAGAAAGACAUUGUUUGCAGAACUGUUGCACUGACAAAUUACUCAUGUGUCUCUGUUUUUUAUUUUUUUGCCUUUACAUUGUAAACUCUAGUCAUUUUAAUCUGUAAGUACAAGGUAAUCUUUGU